rnacentral:rRNA from 1 species
CCUACGGGAGGCAGCAGUGGGGAAUAUUGGGCAAUGGGCGCAAGCCUGACCCAGCAACGCCGCGUGAAGGAAGAAGGCUUUCGGGUUGUAAACUUCUUUUGUCAGGGACGAAGCAAGUGACGGUACCUGACGAAUAAGCCACGGCUAACUACGUGCCAGCAGCCGCGGUAAUACGGAGGUGGCAAGCGUUAUCCGGAUUUACUGGGUGUAAAGGGCGUGUAGGCGGGGAAGCAAGUCAGAUGUGAAAACCACGGGCUCAACCUGUGGCCUGCAUUUGAAACUGUUUUUCUUGAGUGCUGGAGAGGCAAUCGGAAUUCCGUGUGUAGCGGUGAAAUGCGUAGAUAUACGGAGGAACACCAGUGGCGAAGGCGGAUUGCUGGACAGUAACUGACGCUGAGGCGCGAAAGCGUGGGGAGCAAACAGGAUUAGAUACCCUUGUAGUC